rnacentral:rRNA from 1 species
ACUUAAAUUGAAGAGUUUGAUCAUGGCUCAGAUUGAACGCUGGCGGCAGGCCUAACACAUGCAAGUCGAGCGGUAGCACAGAGAGCUUGCUCUCGGGUGACGAGCGGCGGACGGGUGAGUAAUGUCUGGGAAACUGCCUGAUGGAGGGGGAUAACUACUGGAAACGGUAGCUAAUACCGC